GGGGGGAGGGAGUCCCGUGGCGGGAUUUGGGGGGAGGAAGUCCCGUUUCUUGAGUGUUUCUUCGUUUCUUUAAGAGCUCCCAGAAAGCAGCCCACCCCCACACCCAUUGAAAAAAAAAAAAAAUAAGCGAGUGGGGAAGAGCCAGCCCCACGCCGGUCCGCCUCCCGCCCGCGGCCAGGCCUCCCUCCCGCUCGCCGCCUGGCUCGGCGCUCCUUCGCCCCGAGUUCUCCAUCCCCUGGAUCCCGGGUUCGCGGGGCGCGGAGAAGAGGACCAAGGAAAGGGAGAUGAUCUGGGUGAGCCUGACCUAAUCAGUUGAGCCCUGGAUUGAAAGAGUGAGAAGGUUUGAAGUCCCAUCACUCCCUGGCUUUGGAGGUGAAGAGGACCGCACGGGAAGGGAUGCGAAAGGCCUGGAGAAGCUGAGCAUGAUGCCGACCUGACAGCCAGCAGAGAUGUUGGGGCAUCAGACCUGCAGCUACGAGGACUGGGACUGAGCCAGCAAGCUGAGCGACCCCGGAAGCAGAUUCUUCCAGAGCCCCCUCUCCCUGGACAAGAGUCCAGCUUCGCCGACGGCUGGAUUUUGGCCUUGAUUUUGGCAUGGAGAGCCAAAAUCAAGGUGAGCCUGCCCCAACUUCUGCCCCAAGGAACUGUGAGACAAUAAACGGGUCUUGUUUUCAGCCGCUAA